UGUGAGGGUGAAGAGCUGGUGCACUUUUCUGUGAAGAUGUGAGUAAAAUGGGUUGUUCCAGACACUGUUCAGAAGAACAGCAUACUUUGAUUAAAAAGUUGAUUGGAGAAGGGAAAACAUAUAAAGAAGUACAGAAAAUGAUAGACUGCUCAGGUAAAAUGGUCUCAAAUGCUUUAAAAUGGCAACCAAAACCAG